GGUUUUACAGUACUCCAGUGCUAAUGUGGACAUCCACAAAGUGGGACAGCAGAAAGAUUCUGCCAAAUAAGACUAAAGGUGGUCCAGAACAAAUCUAAGGCAUGGUCUACACUAAUGAGAUGUGUCCCCGGCUGGGUCUCAUUUAGCACAUUUCUAAAGAGCCACCUCAAUUUGGCCUCCCUCAGCCCUCUGGAUGUUUGCCUUGCAUUGAUCCUCUAUUCCCAGCUGCCUCUCACUCUGAACAGCUCCAGCUAUCCACCCUGAUCUGCGCCACCUCCCAGCUCUCUGCCUCACCUUGGCGUCCAGCCCAGCCUGACACAGCUCAGCGUUGCACUAGCAUUCCUCCGACAUUCUGGACGUUUCACUGUGGUCCACCUUCCAGCUGUCUCAGCUCUGAGCAUCGUGCCUGUGCACCCCCGCAUUUGGAACUGUUCUCCCCAUCUCACCCUCCCCGCCAUGCAUCCUUACCUGCUGUCACUCAUAGAAGUCAAGUGCAAAGAUGUUUGGCCUCAACUUGUGUGGGAAAGCAUGUGUUGAUUUACAGAAGACAAUCCUUCCACAGGGCUCUGCAGAACCAUCCUCUGGCACAAUAAAGACAACGAAACAGCUCCGUUGACAAGGCUGACAACAAUGUGCUUUGCAUUCAGCGUGAAUUGGUUUAAUAUGAUUUCCAUUUGAAUGUUUAUUGCAAUACGAUCUUUAAAUAUUCAGUCUCAUUGGCUUCACUGUGGUGCAGAAUAAUUUUUCUGGAGUCCUGACUAAUUCUAUUGCUUAUUACUGUGUAUUGAUGGUAAACAGUUAUUUUUUUUUAUUGCCGCACUAUUGUGAAUUGCCAUCAUUCAAAGCAAUAUAUUAGCACUUGAAACACUAGCCCUUGAAAUAUGUCCUGCCACUUCUCAUGUGGGACUCUAUUUUAUAUCCAGAGUGCUAGAUCUUAAAUUUGAGCUGAUUUAUAUGGUUUAUCUGAUGGUACAUUUUAAGUCACUCAAUGUCUGCUUAGGAACUCUUCAUUUCAGACGAUUUACAGUUUAUCAAAUAUUUAAGACAUUGUUUCAGGUUCCCCAAUGUAACUUUAUCAGCUUCGUUGAUGAAGGGAUGUAUUUGGCUCUCAGAAAUGAGCUGUUGUUUUUUUUAACAUGGACUACGAAAUGGGAUACCAAAUCCUGUCUUUGGAAGCUCAUAUUGGCAUCAAGGUAUGCAAAUACCUGUUUUUAUGGUCCAUAAAGCUGAUUUGAACAGGCACGUGCAAGAUCUGGAUGUUAUAUUUGGCUCUUUGAAAAGUGGAUUUCACAUACCACAAUUUUGUGCCCUCCCGCUCUUUCAGUUCAGUUCACACUAAUACUUUGCAUGUUUUAUAUCCACUUAACUGGUUGUUUUUGUUGUGGAAUGUGAGCAAAUGAGACAGCUGCUAACAGCUUUACACUUGUUCACUAACUUGGAACACACAAUGAAACACCUCACAGUUCCAUAUGGCACCUUUCAUCAUGAGAUGAUAGAGUGGGCCAAAUUCUGCUCUAAUUUUUUCUGGAUUUCCAGUUGCGUUGCUCCAUCAAAAUAAUUAGUUAUUCUUGAUUUAUACCCAUAUAAAAGACAGGAAUUAUAUAUAGUGUCACUGGAACAGUCAUUUUAUGCCAAACCUGGCUUCUGAUCAAGCGUGUUCAUUUCAAGCAAAUCCUCAAGAGACAGUGAACACAAAAAAACCUUCCCCACCCCACAAUGUUCCUUAUAUUCUACUCCCUGCAAUUGCACUAUUUCAUGUGACUCUUUUCUCUCUGCCAUAACCUCCUGUAAUAUAAUGUUUGAGCAAUAUCCUUCAUGGGGAUCACAUGUACUUAUACACUUCCUAAAAUAUUUGAAGACACAAUAGGCCAGUUCCUUGAGAUUGGUUCUCCCAGUGGCCAUAUGAAAUUAAAAUGCCAGAAGCUACUGUCCUUUUUAUUUGACUGGUUGUUAUAAAAUACUGCAGAGAGAGAACUGACUUACUGAAUUUCUCUAGCCUGUGAGCUGCCUGUGUUGAACCUCACUAGAUUCUGGGCUGAGAAAUGUAUGUAACUGGAUUAUGGAAUGGAUUAAACAUAGGCUAUGGAUUUUGUUAACUAGAUUAUGUAGUUAUGCUCUUCUUGGAUGGGACUCUACUUGUUUAGCAAUGCCGCUUUUUAAAUUGAGUACUGGACUAUUUGUUCCUGUGGAAGGAUGUUCCCUUAGAUGAACAUCAAUGAUGUUCAAUUAACUGAUGUUUAACAAAAUCUUUGUUUAAGAAGCUGAACUAGCAACUAGUCUGUCUAUUUCAAAUCAUGAUUUUUACCAUAAUAAAAAUCUAUUAGUUAUUCUCAGGCUCAAACUCAGAUUUAGAUGUUACGAUCAGAAGGAACCAUCGUGACUAUCUAGUCUGACCUCCUGCACAUUGCAGGCUACAGACCCUCACCCAGCCACUCC